rnacentral:rRNA from 1 species
GAUGAACGCUGGCGGCGUGCCUAAUACAUGCAAGUCGAGCGAAUGGAUUGAGAGCUUGCUCUCAAGAAGUUAGCGGCGGACGGGUGAGUAACACGUGGGUAACCUGCCCAUAAGACUGGGAUAACUCCGGGAAACCGGGGCUAAUACCGGAUAACAUUUUGAACCGCAUGGUUCGAAAUUGAAAGGCGGCUUCGGCUGUCACUUAUGGAUGGACCCGCGUCGCAUUAGCUAGUUGGUGAGGUAACGGCUCACCAAGGCAACGAUGCGUAGCCGACCUGAGAGGGUGAUCGGCCACACUGGGACUGAGACACGGCCCAGACUCCUACGGGAGGCAGCAGUAGGGAAUCUUCCGCAAUGGACGAAAGUCUGACGCAGCAACGCCGCGUGGGUGAUGAAGGUCUUCGGAUUGUAAAACCCUGUCGCCAGGGACGAAGGGUGGGGCGUGAAUAGCGUUCUACUUUGACGGUACCUGGAAAGGAAGCCCCGGCUAACUCUGUGCCAGC